AUGUUCACUUUGGCAGCAUGUAUAUUAAAAUUGAAACAAUGCAGGGAAAAUUAACAUGGCCUCUGUACAAGGAUGACACGCAGAUUCACAAAACGUUCCAUAUUUUU